rnacentral:lncRNA from 1 species
CUAAGAAAGGCGGUUUAAUACAAAGAAUGGUUCAUUAUUACAAAAUAGUUGUCCUGAUAACCCUACAAUAUACGCAAAUCAAAAAUUAUUAGCUUCACGAUCUGUAUUUUUGUUUUUCCCCAAAGUUCCCUGGAAAAUAUCACGAAAACCGUGACAGAGUAAUAGGAAAAGAAACAAGGAAAACAGAAAAUGAAGAUGCAACUGAUUCAACUCCUGUAAUUUUUGCAAAACCAGAAAACUCUGAAGUCUGGAAUUUCAUGAACGAGCGUACAAAAUUUCCUAACACAUGCAAGGUGAAACAAACAGGUAGACACAAAUUAGAUCAGGACGUCAAUUGGGAUGAAUUAGUUCAAGGAAUUACUGUACCUGAUACUGUGAAAGUACUUUAAUUCGUGGGUAUCAAUUUUCGUGGUUUGGAGAAAAGUUGCAUGUUCGUGGAUUCUUAAAUUCGUGGAUUUCAGAUUUUUGAGAAAAAAAAAUAAUAGUAAAAAUGAUAAGAAAUUAUGACUGCCAACGUAAACGUAGCAUCCAGCAUGACGAAAUUGUGUUUCAUAUCACUGCGUG